rnacentral:rRNA from 1 species
CGCUAUCACUCCUACGGGAGGCAGCAUGGGGAAUAUUGCACAAUGGGGGAAACCCUGAUGCAGCCAUGCCGCGUGUGUGAAGAAGGCCUUCGGGUUGUAAAAGCACUUUCAGUAGGGAGGAAGGUAGUGUAGUUAACACCUGCAUUAUUUGACGUUACCUACAGAAGAAGCACCGGCUAACUCCGUGCCAGCAGCCGCGGUAAUACGGAGGGUGCGAGCGUUAAUCGGAAUUACUGGGCGUAAAGCGCAUGCAGGCGGCCUGUUAAGUCAGAUGUGAAAGCCCGGGGCUUAACCUCGGAAUUGCAUUUGAAACUGGCAGGCUAGAGUCUUGUAGAGGGGGUAGAAUUUCAGGUGUAGCGGUGAAAUGCGUAGAGAUCUGAAGGAAUACCAGUGGCGAAGGCGGCCCCCUGGACAAAGACUGACGCUCAGAUGCGAAAGCGUGGGGAGCAAACAGGAUUAGAUACCCUGGUAG